rnacentral:tmRNA from 1 species
GGGGUUAUUUAUGGUUUCUAUUAGGAGAUCCGCUCGUCUUAUAUGCUAUCAGGGAGAUGUUUGUGACUUCCUUAAUCAAUUACAAACAAGCAUAACUGCUAAAACUAAUGCUCAAAGAGCUUACAAAGGAUUAACUGCUGCAUUUUCGAAUGUAACAUCUAAUACUUUAGCAUUCGCUGCUUAAUUGCCAGCAAUGCUGUAGUCUUCCUAAGGGAUGAGUGCCGACUGGCCUGCUACACAAUCUAUAAAACUUUACUUAGGAGAGUUUAUAGAUUAUUAAUCUAAGUCUUGUAUGAUCGGGUUUUAAUUUUGUCUUGUACAUACAAGUACCCAUAGAUAAAAUUUUUGAAUAAGUUUUUUGUUUGUUUUCCACUUAUUCAAAUAUUAAAAUAAACUAUGAUAGUAGAUGUAUUUGGUUAGCCUUCUAAGACAUGGGUUCAAAUCCCAUUAGCUCCACCA